rnacentral:tRNA from 1 species
GCCGCGGUAGCUCAGCCUGGGAGAGCAAUCGGCUGAAGACCGAUGUGUCGCAGGUUCAAACCCUGCCCGCGGCA